CCCAGGUUCCUCCAAUCUCUCUGCAGUUUCCUGCCCACCUCUCCCACACCUUCAAAAGGCUUUAAGAAGGUCAGGUAGCGAAGGGGAUGAGAUAACAGGAGAGCUUGAAGAACUUUAUUUUUCAGAAUAACUCAGCAUGACAGCAGCGGUGCUAUAGACUAGCUCCCAUGUGGACUUUCCUGCUAAGUCUUUGCUGCCAAAAAGGUGUGACCUCAUUUGUUCCUUAUGGACAGGAAGCCACGUCUGCGAGGAGCACCCAGCAGCACGCUGCCCUGAAGGAUGUGCACUGAGGAGCGAGCAAAACUCAUUUCCCUAAAGCUUCCGGGCGGCCCAACGCCUGCAGGAACCCCUGGGGGGGGGUUGGCCCCGCUGGAGGUGUGGGGUGAGCUGGAAGUGCCCCAGACACCCCGUCCCUGUCCCCUGCCCUUGCAGCGCCAGCAGGAGGAUGUCGGAGCGCUCAGACAAUGGUGGAGGAAGCGGCUCUGGCUGCGUUUCCCUUCUGCUCCUUGGAGAAUGGGGGGAGCGCACAAGCAAGGGCCGGAUUUAGCUCUUGGAUCCACAUGAAACGUCCCCGUGCCGCCUGCUCCCUUCCUUCGUGCUCGGCCUCUUGGCAUGGGGGUGGAAGUGGCGCGCACGAGGGGAUCAGGGGAGCAGAGGCAGCGUGCAGCAGGCAGAGCCACAAACACAAUGCGGGCAAAACAAAGAGCGGGGCUGUGUUUACUGCCUCCCCGGUGCCAUUCACGUCUGCUUGGAGCUGGUUUCCUCUUUUCAUGAGCCUCUUGACCUGCAGAUCCCUCUCCUCAGCAGCCCCGGAGCCCCAUGCCUGGAUCUGCCUGCCUCUUCAGAUCAAGCCAGCAACACACAUCGGACACAAAGAGCCCGGGCUGUGUGUUCGCCUCAAGGCUUUAAGCUCCUUGUGCUGGCCCCCGGGGCUCGUGUUUGUUUUCCAAGCCCUGAGGACAACAGGCGUGCUCUGGAAGUCCACACAGAGUGCCUGAAGGCUGCGGGCCCCAGGCCUGCCCUGUCCUAUGGGAAGUGCCCUUGGCCCUGUGUAAGGGAGGGCCAACAGCCCCAAAACCCCGCACACAAGCCUGGCAAAAUGAGGAACUCGUGCAGGAGCCUGCCAGAAGGGCACAAGCCUGAUGGUGGAAGGGCAGCAUUGUUGGCCCUGGCUGAGACACUUGGUCCCACAACAACAACUUUGGAGAGAGGUGCUGUGACUGGGAAACCCCAAAGGGUUUUAUAGCACGCUGGUUGUGGUUGAUUUUCAAGCCCCCCCUUUCUCCAGGCCCAGCCUGCGUUACAGCGAGCGUGGGGCCUCCGACUGCAUUCAUCUCCUCAGCUGGGCCUCGGGGCACAGAGGUGUGAAGCAGCAGCUUGAGGGCAGGCUUCAGAAACAGCACCCCGAAGGGCAUGGGGCAGGGAACCUCCGGGCCUGUUUUCUGCAGCCAGCACGACCUGAAAUCCCGCUGCUCAGCCAGAUGGAGGCACAAAUGGGGGAAAUUCCUCCCAUGUGCCAUGCCCUCCCCUGCAGGAGCUGGGCAGCUCAAGAUGACCCCACCACUGCUGCUUGGAGCCCAAGCACAUCCAACCCACACUCCUGUGCCUUUCACAACCCCACAGAGUUUUAAACUUUUCCAUCAGCUGGCCGAUAGCCUUCAGAGAUGAGCAGUGGCUGUAAUUGAUUCAUCAAGGCUCCUGUUAAUUUGUUUUUACUCAAUUGUGGAAACGCAGUUGAUUCCCAGUUAUCGUGCUCUGGAGUCAAGCUUCCUUUAGGUAAUUUGCAGCGUAGCCUACAUAUGUGUAAGAAACGUAUCGCCAUCGUGUUUUUAAUUAAAACGCGUACGGUAAUACCAAAAGGAGAGAGGGGGAGGAAGGGAGGGAACCCAGAUUAAGUUUUUAAUUGUUUUAAUAGUGAGAGUUGGUUCAGGGAGAACAGGGCAUAUUGGUUUCCUUGGAAACAUUGGCGAUGUAUUAGCUGUAUAAAACCGAGCAUAAAAGAUUUGCAAAAGUGAAGCCUUUAGGUUUUAACUGAUAUAACUAGUUUCAUUUGGAAAAUUGGCUUCACACGUGGCCCUUGGAGUCCCCAAAAGGGGUCUUCUCUGGAGCCUCAGGAUUCACCAUUUCACAGGUCCCCAUUAGAGAUCUAAAAUGGCAAUAACAACAAAAAGCCUUCAACAAGUCGAUAUCCUUGAUUCAUACGCUUUAAUUAGGUGUGCCCAGAAGUUCUCUUUGUGGAGAGCAGUACGGGACUCAGGCGAGACCAUGUGGUUUGAGGACAAAGUAUGACAAUUUGGCUGUUCAAAUAUUCCAGUAAAAAUAAAGAUUUUUACCAACAUAGCAGUA